rnacentral:rRNA from 1 species
UCCUACGGGGGGCAGCAGUAGGGAAUUUUCCGCAAUGGGCGAAAGCCUGACGGAGCAACGCCGCGUGCAGGAGGAAGGCCUUCGGGUUGUAAACUGCUUUUGUCUGUGACGAUUAUGACGGUAGCAGAAGAAUAAGGAUCGGCUAAUUCCGUGCCAGCAGCCGCGGUCAUACGGAAGAUCCGAGCGUUAUCCGGAAUUACUGGGCGUAAAGAGUUGCGUAGGUGGCAUGUAAAGCGAGUAGUGAAAGACUCCGGCUCAACCGGAGGCACAUUAUUCGAACUCACAAGCUAGAGCAUAGUAGAGGUACCUGGAAUUCCCAGUGUAGGAGUGAAAUCCGUAGAUAUUGGGAGGAACACCGAUGGCGUAGGCAGGGUACUGGGCUAUUGCUGACACUAAGGCACGAAAGCGUGGGGAGCGAACGGGAUUAGAUACCCUAGUAGUC